rnacentral:rRNA from 1 species
CUGUAAGCCUGUGAAGGUGGCCUGUGAGGGUUGCUGGAGGUAUCAGAAGUGCGAAUGCUGACAUAAGUAACGAUAAAGCGGGUGAAAAGCCCGCUCGCCGGAAGACCAAGGGUUCCUGUCCAACGUUAAUCGGGGCAGGGUGAGUCGACCCCUAAGGCGAGGCCGAAAGGCGUAGUCGAUGGGAAACAGGUUAAUAUUCCUGUACUUGGUGUUACUGCGAAGGGGGGACGGAGAAGGCUAUGUUGGCCGGGCGACGGUUGUCCCGGUUUAAGCGUGUAGGCUGGUUUUCCAGGCAAAUCCGGAAAACCAAGGCUGAGGCGUGAUGACGAGGCACUACGGUGCUGAAGUGACAAAUGCCCUGCUUCCAGGAAAAGCCUCUAAGCAUCAGGUAACAUCAAAUCGUACCCCAAACCGACACAGGUGGUCAGGUAGAGAAUACCAAGGCGCUUGAGAGAACUCGGGUGAAGGAACUAGGCAAAAUGGUGCCGUAACUUCGGGAGAAGGCACGCUGAUAUGUAGGUGAAGCGACUUGCUCGUGGAGCUGAAAUCAGUCGAAGAUACCAGCUGGCUGCAACUGUUUAUUAAAAACACAGCACUGUGCAAACACGAAAGUGGACGUAUACGGUGUGACGCCUGCCCGGUGCCGGAAGGUUAAUUGAUGGGGUUAGCGGUAACGCGAAGCUCUUGAUCGAAGCCCCGGUAAACGGCGGCCGUAACUAUAACGGUCCUAAGGUAGCGAAAUUCCUUGUCGGGUAAGUUCCGACCUGCACGAAUGGCGUAAUGAUGGCCAGGCUGUCUCCACCCGAGACUCAGUGAAAUUGAACUCGCUGUGAAGAUGCAGUGUACCCGCGGCAAGACGGAAAGACCCCGUGAACCUUUACUAUAGCUUGACACUGAACAUUGAGCCUUGAUGUGUAGGAUAGGUGGGAGGCUUUGAAGUGUGGACGCCAGUCUGCAUGGAGCCGACCUUGAAAUACCACCCUUUAAUGUUUGAUGUUCUAACGUUGGCCCCUAAUCGGGGUUGCGGACAGUGUCUGGUGGGUAGUUUGACUGGGGCGGUCUCCUCCUAAAGAGUAACGGAGGAGCACGAAGGUUGGCUAAUCCUGGUCGGACAUCAGGAGGUUAGUGCAAUGGCAUAAGCCAGCUUGACUGCGAGCGUGACGGCGCGAGCAGGUGCGAAAGCAGGUCAUAGUGAUCCGGUGGUUCUGAAUGGAAGGGCCAUCGCUCAACGGAUAAAAGGUACUCCGGGGAUAACAGGCUGAUACCGCCCAAGAGUUCAUAUCGACGGCGGUGUUUGGCACCUCGAUGUCGGCUCAUCACAUCCUGGGGCUGAAGUAGGUCCCAAGGGUAUGGCUGUUCGCCAUUUAAAGUGGUACGCGAGCUGGGUUUAGAACGUCGUGAGACAGUUCGGUCCCUAUCUGCCGUGGGCGCUGGAGAACUGAGGGGGGCUGCUCCUAGUACGAGAGGACCGGAGUGGACGCAUCACUGGUGUUCGGGUUGUCAUGCCAAUGGCACUGCCCGGUAGCUAAAUGCGGAAGAGAUAAGUGCUGAAAGCAUCUAAGCACGAAACUUGCCCCGAGAUGAGUUCUCCCUGAGACUUAGAGUCUCCUGAAGGAACGUUGAAGACGACGACGUUGAUAGGCCGGGUGUGUAAGCGCAGCGAUGCGUUGAGCUAACCGGUACUAAUGAACCGUGAGGCUUAACCUUACAACGCCGAAG